GCCUUGGUAGCUCAGUUGGUAGAGCGGAGGACUGAAAAUCCUUAUGUCACUGGUUCGAUUCCCGUCCAAGGCA
rfam:Lachnospiraceae bacterium ACC2 genomic scaffold supercont1.5, whole genome shotgun sequence.